AUUGAACGCUGGCGGCAGGCCUAACACAUGCAAGUCGAGCGGAUCGGCUGCCGGGUGAUUAAUACCUAGGAAUCUGCCUGAUAGUGGGGGAUAACGUUCGGAAACGGACGCUCAUACCGCAUACUAUCCGAUGAGCCUAGGUCGGCUUAGCUAGUUGGUGAGGUAAUGUCUCACCAAGGCUACGAUCCGUAACUGGUCUGAGAGGAUGAUCAGUCACACGGGAACUGAAGCACGGUCCAGACUACUACGGGAGGCAGCAGUGGGGAAUAUUGCGCAAGGGGGGCAACCCUGACGAAGCCAUGCCGCGUGAAUGAAGAAGGCCUUCGGGUUGGAAAGUUCUUUCGGUAGCGAGGCGUUAACUACAGAAGAAGCACCGGCUAACUCCGUGCCAGCAGCCGCGGUAAUAC
rnacentral:rRNA from 1 species